UCCCGAAACCCUACCUCAUUUUUUCUCCUCCCCUUUCUCUGUCUCCUCCCGAAGGCGACAAUGGCAGCGAGCGGAGUGGCCGGCGCGGCGGCGCACAUGGGCGGGGCGAGCGGACGCGUGCGCAGGGCGGAGUGGGCAAAGCUCGGGCGAAGAGAGCUGGCGGCGCCGGCCAGCUUUGCUUGCCGGAGGUGCGCACGGCCAUGGCCGGUGCGCAGCUCCUUCGAGCAUGGCUCGUCGGUGCCCUAAGAGCCCAGUGGGGCGCGGGAUCCACGGCAGCCGAGGGAGCCGAGCCCGGUGGCGGCACAGGGGACCGCUCGAGACAAGCCGCAGAGCAAGUCCGGCAUUAGGGGUUGCAGCCAUGGUUGCCGUGGAGAAUGACGGCCAUGGCGGCCAUAAGGUGUCCUUGCCGGCUUGGGUUCAUGGGUGUUUCAGCUGCUAAAGGUCUCCAAAGACAGGCUCUCCUAGUGGUUCAGUUUGUCAUGCAGCAGCUACAACUGACUCUGAAGAGGUAGAUCUGCAACCUUUUGUUAAUUGUUAUAGGACACCAAGUCAUUCCCUUGCAUUUGACUUCAUCACUAAUUAUGAAGCUGAUCAACAAGUAAUGGUUUCACUAAAGAUCCCUUGAAAUUGAGGACAACAGGUAUUGUACUCUGCGGUUACUGAGGCACAAGAAGCAGCAACGACGCUAUUGUGCUGUGCUAUUAGAUUUUCUUUUUCCUAGGUAGCCCCAUUUCAGUCAAUGAUCACCGGGAAAAUGCCUUCCACCAAGAAUAGAGGAUAUGUUUUCCAGAACAGAGGAGUUUCACAACUUUGUUGGUUCAUGAUGGUGGUAUGCUGAUAUGUAGGUUCUGUUGAUUAGCUUGGGACAAUGCAUGACAAGGUCUUGCACACCUGUGACUGGGUUUUUAAUUCCUGUAGAAAAAAAAUCGAACCUCAUCGA